UUUUUUUUUUUUUUUUGGUCUGUAAUCUUUUUUUAUCCUUUUACUGACUCUGUAAUCUGUAGUGGCUUGCCCUCAUUCAUUUCCGGUAUUAAUCAUUUGAGUUACUCUUGCUUAUUUUCUUAAGCUGGCUAGAGCCUUAGUGAUUUUAUUGACCUUUUUGUAGAACUAGCUUCUGGCUUCAUUGACAGUCUCCAUUCAUUCUCGUUUGCAGUUUCAUUGAUUUUGUCCCAUUUCUUAUUUUUUCUUUUUUCCUUCCUCCCUGCCUUCCUGACUUCCUUCCUUCUUUUUUAGUUUCCAAAGUUGAAAGCUUUAGAUUACUGACUUUAGAUCUUUCUUCCUUUCUUUCUUUCUUUUUCUUUCUUUCUUUCUUUCUUUCUUUCUUUCUUUCUUUCUUUCUUUCUUUCUUUCUUUCUUUCUUUCUUUCUUUCUUUCUUUCUCUUUCUUUCUUCCUUUCUCCCUCCCUUCCUUCCCUCCCUCCUUCUUUCUUCCUUCCUUCCUUCCUUCCCUUCCUCCCUCUCCUUCCUUCCUCCCUCCCUUCUUUCUUCCUUNUCUUCCUUCCUUUCUUUCUUUCUUUCUUUCUUUCUUUCUUUCUUUCUUUCUUUCUUUCUUUCUUUCUUUCUUUCUUUCUUUCUUGCCCUCUUUCCCUCUUUCUUUCUCUCUCUCUCUCUCUCUCUCUCUCUUUCUUCACCUGAGACUUAUGGAAGUUCCCAGGCUAGGGCUUGAAUUGGAGCUGCAGCUGAGGCCUAUGGACACACUGAAUCUGAGCCACAUCUGUGACCCACGCUGCAGCUUUUAGAAAUGAUGGAUCUUUAAGCCACUGAGCAAGGCCAGGGAUCAAACCUACAUUCUCACAGAGUUAAUGUCAGGGUCCUAACCCAUUUAGCCACAGUGGGAACUCCCUCUUUCUGUUUUUGAUAUAUCCAAAUAAUACCAUAAAUUUUCCUCUUAAGCACUGCUUUUAUGGAUACCAUUAACUUUUAUGUUUUAUUUUUAUUUUCAUAUUGUUUAGACUAUUUUUAAAUUUGUUUGAGAGUUCUAUUUUGACCCACAUGUUAUUUAGAAAUGUAAUAAUUAAUCUCCAAGUGUUUUGAGAUUUGCCAACUGCCAUCCUGUUAUUGAGUUCUUAUUUAAUGUCACAGUGGUCUGAGAGUGAGAGUAGAUAUUAUAUGAUUUCUAUUCUUUUAAAUUUGUUAAAAUAUGUUUUAGUCUAUCUUGGUGAAUAUUUCAUGUGAGUUUGGGAAGAAUAUUAUUUUGCUGCUGUUGGAUGUCUAAAGAUAUCAAUUAUAUUAAUUGCUGUCAUUGAGUUGAACUGUGCCCUUACUGAUUUUCUUUCCUUUUCUUUUCUUUUUUUUUUUUUUUGUCUUUUCUAGGGCCGCAUCCACGGCGUAUGGAGCUUCCCAAGCUAGGGGUCCAAUUGGAGCUGUAGCACCGGCCUACGCCACAGCCACAGCAACACGGGAUCCGAGCCGCGUCUGCAACCUACACCACAGCUCACGGCAACACCGGAUCCUUAACCCACUGAGCAAGGGCAGGGACUGAACCCGCAACCUCAUGGUUCCUAGUCGGAUUCGUUAACCACUGCGCCACGACGGGAACUCCAGGAAAUAUAUUUUUUCUAAGGCAUCACUCUCCUCCCUCUCAGACUCACUCUGUUUAUGGUCAUUUCAGCGUGGAAGUUUCUGGAAUGUCAGUUCAAUAAAUUUUUAUGCAGCACAAAACACAUUGUAACACGGAAGUCUCCCUUCAUCUCCCUACCCCCACAUUAUCAAGAGUAAUGUGACUUGCUAGAUGGGGCAAAAAGAACCUGUUCUUUCUUCAUCUCAUAUAUGUGAAUUUUUUGGAUUGAAAAAGUUACUCUCCUCCACAGUUAAGUGCUGGACUGCCAAGUAAGAAGAAAAUGAAUGAGUUCUUUACACACUCUCUAAGAUAAGUACAACAGAGCCAGCCUGGAAAGUCAGUCACCAUUUUCAAGGAGAUGCCAGCUCUUCCUUCUUUUUUCAUCCCCUUCUUUGGUAUUAUAAGAUCUGACUGUGGAGACUGUUCACUGCCUGAUUAGCAGUACUAGCUUUUAAAUCCUAAGUAAAAGUAUAUUUUGGCUCUAAAGUUACUCUUGUAUAUAUCUUUGAAGACCCUAAUCAUUCCAUCCUAGAGGGAAAGGGGACCCAGGGAUCUGAGGCUAAGAAGACAAAAUUUGUUUUAACAAGUUAGCCUAAUUGGAUUCCAGAAAAUGAAGUCCACACAUUAAUGAGAUUUAGGUCUAAGAGAAGAAUUUUGAGAAAGGUAAUCUUUGAUGAAUCAUCAGCCAUGGCAACAGCUAUGGAAAGUGGAAUUCCUCAGUCCUAGAACCAACAUAUUUGUUUGGGAAAAAACAAACAAAAGUGAAGGAUUGGGGAUAAACAAGCGAGUAAAGUACAAGUUUUAAAGAUAUUUUCCAUAUACCAGUCAUGUUGACAGUAUGAAUUUUAAUGUUGUGGUUUUAUAUUAUUUUACUUAUUUGGACAAACUAAAAAUCAUUUAGUGUCCUGGUGUGUUGCAUAAUUAACCUUUCAGUGCACCAAAGAUCUAAAAAUAAUGUCAGGCAUAUACGGAUGUGUGGAAGGAUAGACUAAGAAAUGUCCAUAUUGUCUUCCCAGGAUCCAUCCUAAAGAGAGAUUGGAUGGAACUCAGUUUCCCUCACAAGCUAUUUAAGAAAGUUAUUCAUACUUUUUUUCUCAAAUACAUUUUGAAUUAGUUUAUUGCUCCUGACAGUGCUAACUUUUUAUGGCCACAGCUGCAACGAAUAAAAGUUCCCAGGCUAGAGGCAGAAUUGAAGCUGCAGCUGAAGAACUACACCACAGCCAUAGCAACACUGGGCUCAAGCCACAUCUAGGACCUACAUCGCAGCUUGUGGCAAGGAUAGAACCUGCAUCCUGAUGGACAGUGUGUCGGGUUCUUAACCCACAGAACUACAGUGAGAAUUCCUGACAAUGCUACCUUUUAAAGAUAAAAAGUAUCUCCAAUUUUGUUAUCGAAGCAGAAUGUAUUUUUACUGUUCCAAAUCUUUGUCAUUCAGUUCUCAAAGCUAAAUCUUAUUUAAAUAUUUAAGAGUUUGGUAGAGCAGUCUGUGUUCCCUUUACAAGGCAUUCAGAGUGUUAUAUAUUUAGAUGGUUUCCCCUUCCUAUUAAACUGACUUUCAAGGCUUUCAAUGGCAGAGGGAAACUGGAACACUCCUAUAAAUACUGAGUAAAAUGUAAAAUAAUUGCUCUUUGGAGGAGGUCAGUUUAGCAUUAUCUGUUAAUAUUUAGCAUAUUUAGCAUAUUUAUCUUACAUGAAUACUCAGACAUGUUUGCCAGGAGACAUAAAUAUUCACAAAAACAUGCCCAUUCCAACAUUUCGGUAGGAAUAUAGAUAAAUGGCUGUGGAAAGAGUUCAAAUAUCUGGUUAGGUAAAAACAAGGCAAGUUAUAUAAGAAGAGCACAAAUAUAUGUUUCUAAGAACAUGUAAAACAAAGGAAAUAUAGUUAUAUAUUUAUAUUUAUAAUUUAUGAAAUUAUUGGGGUGUUGAUGCUGGCAGUCAGGGAGACAUUUUAUAUAUUAAAGUCUUAUUUUUAUUUUUUUCAAUAUGCAUGUAUUAUUUUUAAUGUAAGCUACUGCAUUUCCUUAAAUUUAAUACGCUGGUACACCUUGAUCCUUCUAGAGAAUAUCAAGAGAACGUUUUUAAUAAUCACUGUCAGGACUGCCACUGCCCAACUGCACUUAGCAUGCUCCAUUGUGUGGUGCACCCCAAGUUACUUUAAUUAAAAAUAAUUUGUUGGAGUUUCCCUCGUGGGUCAGCAGAAAUGAGCCCAACUAGUAUCCAUGAGGAUGCAAGUUCCAUCCCAGGCCUUGCUCAGUGGGUUAAAGAUCUGGCGUUGUCAAAACCUGAGGUACAGGUCACAGACACAGCUAGGUUCAGGAGUAGUUGUGGUUGUGGUGUAGCCUAGCAGCUGUAGUAGCUCUGAUUCAACCUGUAGCCUGGGAACUUCCAUAUGCCUCACCUGUGGCCCUAAAAAUAAAAUAAAAUAAUAAAUAAAUAAAUGAUUGUUAAGGAGUUCCUGUUGUGGUGCAUGGAAUUAGGGGCAUCUCUUCCUUGCCACGACGCAUGUUCAAUUCCCCAGCUUGGCAUAGUGGGUUAAAGGAUCCGGCAUUGCUACAGCUGCAGCUUACGUCAAAACUGUGUCCUGGAUGUGAUCCCUGGCCUGGGAACUUGAUAUACCGUGGGGCAGCCAAAAAAGGAAAAAAAAAAUAAAUAAAAAA
rnacentral:lncRNA from 1 species